rnacentral:rRNA from 1 species
GACUCCUACGGGAGGCAGCAGUGGGGAAUAUUGGGCAAUGGGCGCAAGCCUGACCCAGCAACGCCGCGUGAAGGAAGAAGGCUUUCGGGUUGUAAACUUCUUUUGUCAGGGACGAAGCAAGUGACGGUACCUGACGAAUAAGCCACGGCUAACUACGUGC